rnacentral:lncRNA from 1 species
UAAUAUCUUCUUCAACCACCAGCGGUACAACAACAUUCAAAUCAGUUUUAGCCAAACAAUCGGCCAUAACAUUUCUUUCUCGUGGAAUCCACACGAAGCAUACAUACUCAAAGGCUUCAGCAAGCUUGAGAAUAUCUGAAAAUAUGCCAUAUAAGCCAGCUCCCGAGUUCAACACCUUCACCAGGGUUUGUGAAUCAGAUUCGAUCCGUACCUUCUUCAGCUCCUUUCGUUGGCAAGUAAGCACCGCUUCCCUUACCGCUAGUCCCUCAGCUAUCAAGGGCGUCUGCACUCGCUCAGUUAUAUACUUAUAUUAGAUACGAAUCCUGAUCCUUUUCAAAGAGAUUUUUACUUCUUUUUUUUUUUAAUUCAACGUCGUCUUUAUUUUUUUUUUUGUAACUUAAAUUACAAAAAAUACUUCAAAUAGAAUAACCGAGUAGGUAAUAAUAUGUUUUUUUUUUUAACUUAAAUUAUAUGUUUUUUUGCCAAACAACUUAAACUAUAUGUUUAUUCCUUCAAAAAUAAUAGGGAUGAUCAAUGUACUUCAUUGUAGUGUUUCUAUUUCCAAAUUAUAUGGAGAUAUAAUGGUUCCUAAUGGUGACUGCAGGUUGAGCGGUGCGGAACAAGCGGUUUAAUUGCGGUGCGGUUUUAACAAUUAUAAACAUGUAUAGAUAUAGAGUAUAUAUAUAGAUUUUUGUUACUGCUAAUUGCGGGGCGGGGCGGGAAGCUGGUUACCAUUCGAAGCCAAUAGUAAGUUCGUAAAUAUAAGAAAAUCGAUUAAAUUUCAAGUUUCUUUUAUUAAUAACUAGAGUAUAACAUGUGUCAUGCUCAGUUAACUUUCAUUGAUUAAUUAAACACUUGUUUUAUUUUAUAGAUUGUUUAAGUUCGUUUUUAUAUUUUCUUGAAGGAUGUAGAUCGUUGAUGGGAUCUGAAAGUCCAAUAUAAGUUUUUGUAUAUGAAGUGUCAGCCAAAAGUUCAUAUCAGCUAUAACUCUAAAUGAAUCAUCCCUGUAGUAAUAAUUUUAAUCUUAAUUUUUCAUCCAGUUUUAAUCGGUUUGAAAUCUCUUAUAAAUAUUUUAUAUAAUAAAAUUUAAUGAUUUAGAUGAACCCGUGUUUGAUAGUUCAAAACUAAAAUAUAAUAUAUGAAAUCAAGAAUACGAUUCUAAUUUAAUAGAAUAGAUAUAUUUUAAUAUUUUAUAUUUAUUUCAAAUAUAAAUGAAUAUUUUUUUCUUAAAAAAAAGAAACAAAAUUUUUUAAAUUUUUUAUUUCCCAAAUGAAUUAAUUUAAAUUGAAAUUAUCAGUAAAAUAUAUUUAUAAUAUUUUAUUUGAUUUUAAUCUAUAUUUAUAACUUAAAACUGAACUAAUUCUAAUUUCUAACUAUAUUUAUUGAUAAUUAAAAUUUAAAUUAGUUAAUCACGAAAAUAAAUUGCAAAAAAAAAAAAAGAUGUUCUUAGAAUUUUAAAAGGAAAGUUGUUAAUUUGUAUUUUAAAUAAAAAACUAAUAUAUUGAAUGAUAUUGUAAUUAAAUUAUGUGUAAUUUGAUAACUUUUCUAAGGGAAUGUCCAAAUAAAAAACCACACAUAAAAAAAUCAUAAGACUCUAAUUUAAUAGAUUAGAUAAUAAAUUCAUACCACUGAUAUGCAAUAACUAGAAAAUAUUUCAUUACUAAAAGAAACUCAAAUGAGUGGAAACGAAAAAGAAGCAAAUGUUCUUAUGUGAAGUCUUCAACUCCAAUAGCAUCAAAAGUCCAUAUUCCGAUCUUUAUAUCCUCCGCUCUAGACUUGAUUAACGUUGAAGAAUUUGCUGAUCCCCAGUAUCUUUUCCCCUGAUUGUUCCAACAUCAAGUUAGUUAAAAAAACAUAAAGAUUAAAUAAAACGUUCACAUUUAUUGAUAUGCAAUAACUAGAACAUUCACAUAUAUUGUUCAUCGUUUACUCAGAUCAUACCUAGAGCAUCAAUUUCCAGCAGCGAAGUCUCUAGAUUUUGUUCCUUUAUCUCGAGCUCCGACCGAAACUGUCUUACAUCUGUUAAAGUGUGCACAAUACUCUGUCUCACCUUACUCACUUGAUCAGAGAUUGAGCAAGGUUCAAGUGGUUUCUUGUGCUGCAAGUUUGCUGGACCAACACUUAAUUUGUUUGAUGCCCU